AAAGAAGCAAAGCACAAAUCAAACAUGGACUCUAACAGAGUUAGGUGGCCUCUUCUUCUUCUUUUGGUCAUCACGAACACCCAUUUCUUUCCUAAGCAGGCAGAGGCCAGGCCAGUUUCCUCAGUUCAGCAGGAGGGGUACGUUAAAGAGCUCCAGUUGCUGGGGUUGAUGUGCCGCUGCUGUGACGGUGUCGACGGCGAGUGCCGGAGCUCGUGGGGUCCUACUUGCGCCAAACUUGACUGCAAGCCGUGGAAAUUCUUUUGAUGCAUAGGAAUUUGAAUUUUGUAGGGUGUUAGGAAUCUCCAACGGUCGUUUUGGAGAUAGAUCAGAGGUUCUGUCAUCGGACUCUUUAUCAUUUGGCUAAGAGGAAGAUGACAAGCUUUUUUUUUUUUUUUUUUUUUACAUGAUAUUACUUUUUUAAAAAAAAAUCUUGUAAAUAGUCUCGGAUUUAGAUGUUUAGAUGUUCAAAAUACUUUUCCUCGUAGUUGAUUUGGCGCAAAUUCUGCAA